CCCUCCCUUCCCAUAGCUUACUGGGUGGUGUGGUGAGGGCUGUGCACUCCUCAUUCUCAGCUAAGGGUAUAAUUCCUGGGAACUCUAAGAAGGGCUGAGGAACAAAUCACACUGUGUGCUCAGAAGUUCUUUUGAGUUGGCCCCUUUUUGUUUUCUAGUUCUGGCACCCAGGAGCUCCUUGACGUCACUGCAUAAAACCCAGCAGGUCUACAGUUCCUGUGGCUGGUACUGCACCUGUUCCAUGAAAAGGAGACAACAUGACCUAGUACCCGAGGUUACAAUAGAGGAUGAGACCCACAAUGCUGUGCAUAUCCCUCAAAUGGACCAUCCUUACCACUCCCUUCUACCUGAGACACACAUACAUGCUGUCUCCUAAUAGCUUCUAUUAUAAAGAGCUGUCAUCGUCACCAAGAUGUAACUAACCAGAAAGCCCUUGAUCUGAUCUUCCAAGAAAUCGAGACAAGGCAGUGAACAACCACAUCAAAAAGAUGACCUUCAGGAGCCUGGAUUGUCCCCAGGUAGUUCCUCCUACCGUGCCUCUCAAGGGGAACAAUGACCAGCCUGCUUUUGUCCUCAGUUUCUGCUUCCGUCUCCCUCUUUCCACCCACCAAACCAAUUCUGCCUGCCUCACUGACGCACAUUCUGCUUCAGGGUUCUCAACCUGUGGGUCGCAACCCUUUGGGGCCUGAAUGACCCUUUCACACUGGGUUGAAUAUCAGAUAGCAUUCUUCCCCAGCCUUAUACUCUAGCCUCUCCCAGGCACCCCGAGGCCGCAUGUACUAAGGCAGAAUUGCAUACAACUGCUCACAACAGGUACAUGAUCAUCUCUGGCAAGCAAGCCCAGAUGGACUCUUGACAAUGGUCGCAGUCUGGCUUCCAGAGUGUUCCAUCCAACACUCAGCCUCCUGGGUGCUGAGGCUAAAGCGCCACCAUGCUAACUAGCAUUGUUUUUUGAGACAGAGAUUUUAGUAGCCCAAUCUGGCC